rnacentral:rRNA from 1 species
GGACUACCGGGGUAUCUAAUCCUGUUUGCUACCCACGCUUUCGCGUCUCAGCGUCAGUAUCUGCCCAGAGAGCCGCCUUCGCCACUGGUGUUCCUCCCGAUAUCUACGAAUUUCACCUCUACACCGGGAAUUCCGCUCUCCUCUUCAGUACUCCAGCUCCGUAGUAUCAAGUGCACUUCCGGGGUUGAGCCCCGGGCUUUCACACCUGACUUGCGAAACCGCCUACACGCGCUUUACGCCCAGUAAUUCCGAGCAACGUUUGCACCCUCUGUCUUACCGCGGCUGCUGGCAC